UACAGAGGUCCCAAGCGUUGUUCGGAUUCACUGGGCGUAAAGGGUGCGUAGGUGGCAAGGUAAGUUCGAUGUGAAAUCCCCGGGCUUAACUCGGGAACGGCAUUGAAUACUCUCUUGCUAGAGGAUCGGAGGGGGGACUGGAAUUCUCGGUGUAGCAGUGAAAUGCGUAGAUAUCGAGAGGAACACCAGUGGCGAAGGCGAGUCCCUGGACGAUUCCUGACACUGAGGCACGAAAGCUAGGGGAGCAAACAGG
rnacentral:rRNA from 1 species